AAAAAAAUUUACAGCUAAAUCUCCAACCAAUUUUACGCUGUACGAAUAUACACGUACUGAACAUUUGCAAUGGUCGUACAUAGUUUCAUAUUCUUUUUAUAAAAUUACGAUCAAAAGAAACUUUAGGCCAUUGAAUCGAUGGAUUGUAGUCUUGUAGAUGGAAUCUAUAUCUUUAUCCCUAAAUAUUUCUGAAUUACUUUAACCUCUUUUAAUCAAUUUAGGCUGUCGUGACUCGUGAAAGAGCCACUUGAUUUCCUAAACACCGUCCGUAUUAUCAUGUAACAAUAAUUUGAAUGACUAUAAAAUAAGGAAAAGAAACAAAAAAUUGAAUGACUUAAUUGUUAACUUGGUAAAAAUAUAAAAGGCUUUUGGAGUUUAGUGUGAUUAACAAAGGAAAUUAUAAAAAGAAAACUUACUUAAGAUCGAAGGAGCAAAUAAAAUAGAAACUAGGAUAAAAAAAUGAAGAACACACCAACCACGUCAAAAUCCUCCCUCUUUUGUAAGAUAAUCAAUUUGCGUGUCAAUUUCAAACACUACGAAUUAUAAGGCAAAUAAUCGAAUUAAAUUAAAUCAACAGUUAGAAAUUUUAACCUGCUAGAGAGUUCGAAUCUUUUUAUUCUUUACGAAGACAACGAGCUCCUUCGACCUCUGCCUCUGUUAACACAGUUGAGUUUAUUUUUCUUCCAUUUAACUCUCUCCAUCAUUCAACUUUUCAUUAUCUGUUUUAGAUAUCACUUUACUAAAAAAUUAAUACAUACCUACAUAGCUACAUGCAUUUACGUGGAAGUAUUUUUUUAUUUUUUUAAUGAAAAUUUACGUGGAACUGUGGAAGUUACGUAUAGACAUUUAAAACAUUUAAGUAUUCUAUUUUU
rnacentral:sRNA from 1 species